rnacentral:sRNA from 1 species
UGAAAGUGUCUCAAGGGAAUCGACGCGAU